rnacentral:snRNA from 1 species
GUGCUUGCUUUGGUAGCAUACUGAUUAAAACUGUAGUGAGAUUAGCAUGGUGCAUGCACAAAGAUGACACAAAUUUGUCAAUUGUUCCAUAUUUUA